rnacentral:rRNA from 1 species
UUUCAAAUUGAGAGUUUGAUCCUGGCUCAGGACGAACGCUGGCGGCGUGCCUAAUACAUGCAAGUCGAGCGAGCUGAAUUCAAAGAUCCCU